rnacentral:rRNA from 1 species
CCUACGGGAGGCAGCAGUGGGGAAUUUUGCGCAAUGGGGGAAACACUGACGCAGCAACGCCGCGUGAGUGAUGAAGGCCUUCGGGUCGUAAAGCUCUGUCAGAGGGAAAGAAAUGCGGGGUGUUAAUACCAUUUCCGCUUGACGGUACCCUCAAAGGAAGCACCGGCUAACUCCGUGCCAGCAGCCGCGGUAAU